GGGGGGGGGGGGGGGGGGGGGGGGGGGGGGGGGGGGGGGGGGGGGGGGGCGGGGGGGGGGGGGGGCGCGGGGGGCGGGGGGGUGAGUGACACGGGGGUGACGUGCGCUGGCCUUUGGGGUGAGUUCGGGACGCUGGGGCUAAUACCGGGUAGGCGCGCCGGCGGCGUGGUGGGGGGUGGAACGUUUCGGCGGUUGGGGAGGGCGUCGCGUCUUCUCGCCUUGUUGGUGGGUGAGUGGCUUCCCAAGGCUUUGGCGGGUAGCCGGCCUGAGAGGGUGACCGGCCACAGUGGGACUGGGAUACGCCCCAGACUCAUACGGGAGGCAGCAGUGGGGAUUAUGGCACAAUGGGCGGAAGCCUGAUGCAGCAACGCCGCGGGCGGGAUGACGGCCUUCGGGUUGUAAACCGCUUUCGCCUGUGACGAAGCGUGAGUGACGGUAAUGGGUAAAGAAGCACCGGCUAACUACGUG
rnacentral:rRNA from 1 species